rnacentral:tRNA from 1 species
GUUUUUGUAGUUGAAUAACAACGAUAGCUUUUCGAGCUGUAAGUUUAGGUUAAACACCUGACGGAAAUU